GAGAGUUAAACAGUACGUGAAAUUGUUGAAAGGGAAACGAUUGAAGCCAGUCGUACCUAUGGGUAAUCAGCCUUUUGGGUGUGAUUUUGUGGAGCGUGAGGAGUUAAACGCCUUCAUGCCUGCAUAUUCGUGCACUUUGGGUGUACUUGCCCGUGUGUAAGUUAACAUCAAUUUUGGUGGUCAUAAAAUGGCUGGAGGAAUGUAGCUUCGAUCUUGUAUUGAAGUGUUAUAGCCUUCGGUAGAUGUGACGAUCGGGAUUGAGGAUUGCAACGGAUACCCUUCGGGGCUACCUGUCUGAUCUCUGAUUGUUGCUCUGGUGUCGAAAGCUUGCUUACGGUUAUCAAAGUCGAUGGUCAAUAGGUUAGAAUGGGUUAAAUUCGUUAAGGAUGUUGACGUAAUGGCUUUAAACGA
rnacentral:rRNA from 1 species